rnacentral:tmRNA from 1 species
UUCUGGAUUCGACGGGAUUCGCGAAACCCAAGGUGCAUGCCGAGGGGCGGUUGGCCUCGUAAAAAGCCGCAAAAAAAUAGUCGCAAACGACAAACAAUACGCAAUAGCAGCUUAAUAACCUGCAUAUCGCCCUCUCUCCCUAGCCUCCGCUCUUAGGACGGGGAUCAAGAGAGGUCAAACCCAAAAGAGAUCGCGUGGAUGCCUUGCCUGGGGUUGAAGCGUUAAAUCUAAUCAGGCUAGUUUGUUAGUGGCGUGUCUGUCCGCAGCUGGCAAGUGAAUGUAAAGAUUAGACUAAGCAUGUAGUACCGAGGAUGUAGGAAUUUCGGACGCGGGUUCAACUCCCGCCAGCUCCACC